UUAAAAAAAAAGUGCUAACUUACAAUCUUAUCAAAGAGUUCUCCUCCUGUAACAUACUCCAAGAUGAUAAAUAUCUUUGUCUUGCUUGCCAUCACCUGCAAGUUAACAUGAUAUUAUUAAAUAAAUUUUAAAACAAAAACAAGAAGUAAAAAGAGUGUUAGUUAUUACCUCAUACAAUUGAACAACAUUUGGAUGCUUAAUCAACUUCAUAGUAGCUAUCUCUCUUCUGAUCUGUAAACAAGAAUCAAACAAUAGUAAGCAACAGAUCAGUUUCCUGAUUAUCAAAUCAAAAGAAACAGAGAGACAGGAGAAUAGAGAGACCUGUUCAGACAUCUUAUGCUUGAGGACUUUCUCUUUAUCAAGAAUCUUGAGGGCUACAGGUUCUCCAGUUUCAGAGUUUCUUGCAAACUUGACUUUAGCGAAAGUUCCUUCCCCAAUUGUCCUUCCCACUUCAUACUUACCUACUCUACGCUUGACUUGCUGCCUCCGAUUCAUUUUCACCAAAUCACCAGAUUUAGAAAGGUUCCACCAAAUGCUAAGAACCUCCAAAACAAAGGUUACUCCAAGUCAAGACAAGCUUAGAAUGAAGAAGCUAAACUGAAGAGGAAGAAUCAAGAGAGGAUUUGAUGAGUGAAGAAGAAGCAAGACAUUGAGAGACAGAUAAGACCACCAUUUAUAUAUAUUUAAUAAGACAGCUAUGCAAUAUAUUUAUAUAUCUAUAUUUUACCUUAUUUUUUAUUUAAAAAAUCCCACAAAAAGAAGCUUAGUUUUUUUUUCUUUGGGAUCAACAUUCAACACAGAAGGAAAGAUCUGAAAUCUGCAGGAGAUUGAAAUGGCCUUUGAGGAGACAAAGAGGCAGAGGUUACACACGAUGACCUGAUGAUGAAGACCAAGAUUGAUAUUCUUUUUCCUAUUUAUUAUUGUUUUUCUUUUUUUUUGGAGAAAAAUUACAGUUUUGCUAGAUGGAGUUAAAGGGACAAGGAUCCUUACAAUAGAAAGAAUCAAACACUCAAUUUGCUGUUUUAAGUUGUAGAGUUUAACCACUAAACGACAGAAAAAAACACAACCGAUUCAAGAUCUUGGGGUGAACUCAAGUUGUAUUUGUUUUCUCCUUCUCUGUCAAUUCUUCAUUUUUUUUAUUAUAAAUAUCGUUUUCACUUGUAUAUAUGCAUGAAUGUAUGAUUCACGAUGACAAACCGCAUAUUCCAAUGAAUUUAUUACUAACUGCGGCGAAUUUGUUGAGAGUCUCGUGACAACAAACUGCCUCUAAUACCCACGUAUCAGUAAGGAGACAGAAGAGUAAAGAUAAUUUUCACUAACUCGUAAUAUAUAUAUAUAUAUAUAACAGAAUUUAUAUAGGGAUAAGCUAAUUUAACUGACUAACAAACUCUAUAACCGUCGUUAAUUUUAAUACCCCUCCUCCCUCAAGUCGAAUUCUUCAUGGGAAAAAAGAGACUUGAAAACGUAUAUCUGGACAUUAACAACUUGAACGUCUUGGGAGGUAGAUAUUUAGUGAACAAAUCAGCCAGGUGAUUGCAGGUAGUAACAGAGAGUUUGAAACAAUCUGUAUAGCAGUUGUAUUGUCACAAUUGUGUGUGCUAAACUGCUAAUGCCUUGUGUUCGGCUUAUGCACUACUCGUUCUUGAAUUGAAACUGUUCAUUCUCUCUAAACUGAAACUAUGAAACAUACAUUUGUUUCCUCUGAUGUAAACCUCUUGAGUCUAUCCCCAUAAAACGUUCAUAAGGAACUGCAACUACAGUCCCUUGAGAGUUAUUAGAAGUCGUAGAAGAAACUGUCGAUAUCAAUAAUGACGAAAGAGUCCCAAAGGUUCAUGAGAAACUGCAAUGCAACAAUUGCCCCUAGAGACAAAAAUUCAAAGUCUUCCAACAGAACACCACCAAACGAUGCAUUGAACAAAAACAAAAUUUAACCCAUUUUCUCAAUUUAGUCAGCAUCCAUCUCCUCCAGUGCAGUUUUAGCUGCCGUCUUUGCUUCUUCCAGAAGAUCAUCAGGGACCUACCAUGAGACCCAAUUUUAAGAUGACAUUUUUUUCGAAUCAUCAAUAAGCAGAAUUUAUUUUUAAGAAAAUUACCUUCUGAUGCUCUCGUUUUGACUCCUCACAUAUCCAGCUCAUCUCCAAUUCAAACGCCUUGUCUUUGGCUUCAUCGUGUAGCUUGUAAAUGCUGCACAUGAACCUCACAUUAGACCUUGCUAUAAAAGAAGAGUUUACUAUUAACUCUGAGUAUAUAAAAGAAGCAAAGCACUGGCUCACAUUUUCGCCACUUCAAUAACGCCUUCUCUGCAUGUCAUCUCAGAUAACUUCAGUUUCUCAAUUUCCCUGCAAGAAAACCUUGAUCCAUCAGAACACUUGUAUGCAUAAGUAACGACUUCUACAUAUCAAAAAUAGCCAAACUCUAUACAAUCCAGAAACAUGUAUUGUAAAAAAUGUAUCUGGUUGACUACGAAGUUAGAUUAUAAUAUGCUUCAGACAAGCAGGCAAAAUUGGUCUAUCCAUAACUAAAUAACCAAUUCAAGUUCAGGCAGUAGCGCUUACGUUUUAGCAGCUUGCUUGCCUUUGCCAAUGGCAGCACCAAAAUAUCUCUGCAGGAUAAAGAAUCCAUAAAAUUUAAAAAAAAAGCUUGAAGUCGACAUCAGAUAUCUCUCAGUUCAAAAAGGGGACAUAGAAAGAAAGAAAGAGACUUACGUAUGAUAUCCCCGAUGGCUCAAUCAUGUACAGCUGAGGUCCAUCUCUAUCAUAACCCCCGAGAAUGACCCCACAUCCAAAAGGCCUGAGCCACCAAUAAAGGGUACACAAAUGCACGUAGCUUGCAACACGCUCCGAAAGUUCCUUCACUGGCACAGCGUCCCCAUAAACACUAAAACACAUCAUCACACAAUCAGUAAACGAUUAGUGUCCAUAAAAUUCAGAUUUUUCUACAUUUAACAAGUAAAUAUUAGCAGCAGAAGCUAAAAAAGAUGAACACUUUCCAAUAAUAAGAAGAAGAACCUCUCAUAACUUCUGGCUUCGGAUUUGGCCCUUGCAACAAUUUGCCUGCCGUCAGCUGCAAGCCCAGCAACGGCCUAUAAACAACAUAACAGGAUCUCCUCAAGAUAAUGAAAAGAAUAUAUAUAUGACUGAAAAGUAUAUACCAUGCCAGCAUGACGAUGAACAGAAUGGAUUCUGCGGUUAGAUCCUGGUAGCAUCAUCUUCGAAGCAAUAAGUUUCUCUACACCCUACAAAAAAGAUAAAACCUUUGUCAAUUCUACAUAAACCUAAAGGGGUAUUAAACUAAUCUGAGGAGAAUCGAACCAUGACAAUCCCGUCCUUGCACUUGAUUCCAACAACAGUUCUGCGAAAGAAACAGAAAAGCCGAAUUUCGAUUUCCAUAUAGCCAAAAUCUCAAAGUAUCAAAAAAGGCUAAAAAGGGGAAAGAGNNNNNNNNNNNNNNNNNNNNNNNNNNNNNNNNNNNNNNNNNNNNNNNNNNNNNNNNNNNNNNNNNNNNNNNNNNNGCCACAGAGGAAUGCUACUCAUCUUUUGAUUGGAUCAAAAGGAAGGGUCGAAGAAGAAUGAAUGGGGAGGGGGAGGGGGAGGGGGAGGAUUUCUUUGUUGUCAAGCCAGAAGAACACCUUUGUCUCUGGCCGAUGGGUCCUCGAUUCUGUUCUUAUCGGGCUUUUUUGUUUUUAGUUUUACCCAUUUAGCUGCUUUUUUCAGGUUUUAUUAUAGAAAUUUUACACACACCACUAUUAUAUAUGAUACCAAUACUGUUUUAGUUUUUAAUAACAUUUCUAUAAUAAAAUAAUCAUUUAAAAAAAAGUAAAACUAAAAAUAAGAAAUUAGAAUAAAUAAAUAAAAAAAUUAAAGAAUCCAAUAUCUUCACUUUUAACCUAAUGUUACAUCGACGAUUUAUAAAUUUUAUAUCAUCUAUCCAAAAGGCAUAAAAUUUUGAACAAUAAAAGGAUUCGAAUAAAAUAUGUGUGACCCAAAAUUAUUUUUACUGGACUUAAAAUCGAUUACUUAACAGCUGUAGAUCCGAUAUAAAGAAAAAUAUACAACAAUACUCAAUUUCUAUGUCUGGUUCGAUUAAUCAGGGCGAGAGAGCAAAUUUCCCGCUUUUUUUUCAAUGUCUUAUCCCAUGCCAGCAUUAAGCUCCAACUUACCAAUGAAGGAUUUGGGAUAGUAGCAAUUCCGAUGUCAAAAAGGCUCUUAAACUUACACAAACAGGAAAAGGAGUAACACCACCGACAAGAUCAAGAGACCGCAUGCACUAGGAUGCGUUAAUCCGAGCAAGAGAAAGUAUUUCAGAGAGCCCCGGAGUUUUUCUCUUUCAAAGCAGCAGUCAAACCAGCAGCACCAAGUUCCGAGGAGCUGGCAAUCACUAUAUCAUCCACAUACACCAGAACUGCAAUGAAAUUACCAUCAGUACACUUAACAAACAAAGUGUCCAUGACCUUUAACAAAACCAACAACAAAACUGCAGAAAACUUCAACCGGGUUAUUCUAUUCCACCUCUUAGAAAGCAAAUGAAAUCGCCUCAAACCCAACUUUAGGAACCAAAGACUAGUCCUAAAAGUCAACGUAUAAUACGCAGACCGGUUGGCAUCUGUACUAGAUAAGUUGAAUAAAUUCUAAACCAUAAAUGAUUUUGUAGUCAAACCAUUUCACCUCGUGUCUAUUUGGGGUUGAGUUUUUAAUAAAGUUUGUUUACCACUUUCUUCAUCCUCAUUGUAUAUCCUUCAAUCAAUGAACAUAUGUUUCAAACCAAGUAAGAUGAGAAUCUCUCAGUUUUAAAAGUAAUAGCUUUUACACUUGAACUCUGAUGAGGCUGAUUUGAAUUCUAGAUGAACAAAAUGUUUUUUUUUCUCUGUGGUACUAACAAAUUAGGGAGUAGCCAAGAAGUAAGGCAACAUGUUUUUUCUUGUUCUCUCUUAUUUGGAAAGAUAUAUUCAAUUGAAUGCAAAUGUAUUUUUAUCAGUCCAAUGCGUUUUAAAUGGUGUGUGUUGGUUGUGUUUUGGUUAACUUUUGAUGGAUGGAUUAAAGUAUAAGAUGAACAAAUUAUAAAAAAAUCUUCCAUCCUUUUAUCUUUUUUAUUUUCAAAGAGAUAUUUGUCUCUUGUUUAUCUUUUAGUAGAGCAUUAUGUCAUUUGAUUCCAAUUUUUAUGGCUGAUAAAAUAAAUUUUUAAAGUUUGAGAAAAAAAACUGUCGGCAAAAAAACAUGUAUGGGUUGGUCAUACACUCAUACAUCGUAUGUUUGGUCCUGUUCUUUUUAAUAUAAAAACGAAUUCUUACAUCAAUUCCAUCGUUAAGUAAUAAAGAAAGGCCCGCUGGAGAAAAAGGAGAGAAUCGGAUGCUUAAAUUAUUGUUAGUUGCCUAAUGGGCUUUCUUCGCUUUUCUUCUUCUUUAUAAUCUCACAACUCGUCUUCUCUCAUUUACACACCCAACCAACUUUAAUCUCUCUCUCACACACACACACAAAGAAAAAUGGCCGAUCAGCUCACCGAUGAUCAGAUCUCCGAGUUUAAAGAAGCUUUCAGCCUCUUCGACAAGGACGGAGAUGGUCAGAUCUUUCUCCUUCUCCUUCUCAUUGUGAUUAAGAAUCUGUCAUAGUUAUUUAAUUCCUCAUUGGUCGCAAAUUGGAUCUCUAUAUCUCGAUUUAUUAUUACAGGUUGCAUCACAACGAAAGAGUUAGGUACAGUGAUGAGGUCACUCGGACAGAACCCGACAGAAGCAGAGCUUCAAGACAUGAUCAACGAAGUGGAUGCGGACGGGAACGGAACCAUAGACUUCCCCGAGUUUCUCAACCUGAUGGCUCGUAAGAUGAAGGACACGGACUCGGAGGAGGAGCUCAAGGAGGCCUUCAGGGUUUUCGACAAGGACCAGAACGGUUUCAUCUCCGCUGCGGAGCUGAGGCACGUGAUGACCAAUUUGGGGGAGAAGUUGACUGAUGAAGAGGUGGAUGAGAUGAUCAGAGAAGCUGACGUUGAUGGAGAUGGUCAGAUCAAUUAUGAAGAGUUUGUCAAAGUUAUGAUGGCAAAGUGAGGAUAAACAUUUUUACUCAAUCUCUCUUUUCUUUUUAUUCUUAUUUGAUCAUCUAAAGAACAAUUCUUUAUGCUGCUUUUUUUUUAAUUGAAUUUGAAGAAGGCUGGUUUUGUUUUUAUUUUCAUAUUUGACUGUUCAUCAUCAAUGCAUCAUCAUCAUCAUACAUUCGUUGCUUAUUCAUAGAAAAACUCUAAAGAACAAAAAGUUUACUUUCACAAAAUAUUAAUUUUAAACUUAGAAGGUAGUUUGAAUUUAAAUCAUACAGUUUCUUUGUUUUAGAAUUAGAAUAUGAUUUAAAUUGUUAGAAUGAUGGCAUUAACUCAAAUUCAUAUCCGUGUUUUUUCUUAUCAUACGCUUCACAUAGAUGCAAAAGUAAUUUAAUCGAUAAAUGGUUAUAGAAAACCAAUUUCGAAACAAACAUUUUUUUAAUUAAUACAACCAAUAAUGACGUUGGAAAAAAAAAAUUGCAACCAAUGAAAUAAUAUUCAAGAAAUUCGAAAAGGGAGUGUUACCAAAAAAAAAUACGAAAAGGGUAAAAGUAGGUAAAAGCAAGGGUUUAUUUGUCAAAUAACCAAAAAAAAAAAUUUAGAUUUUAGGAGAGAAAGUAGAGAGAGAUAGGAAGAGAAAAUAGGAGAGAGAAGAGAAUUUUGGUUAAUUAGUGUAUUUAUGUUUUUUCAUGUAUAUAGAGUGCAAUUUCCCUAAAAGCAAAGUAGGCAUCCACUUAUUUUGUGAGUUGGAACAAAAAGAGUUUUAAAACUAUUCUUUUAAAGGAAAGCUAGAUAUGUUUAUGGGAAUAAAAUCAAUAAUACGAGUGGUAAGCAGCGAAAGCCAGAUAGAUGAAAUGAUAAAUUUUCAAACAUUUAGUUGUAAUUGUACCUAACCAUUAUUGUCUUCUUUUUCACUAAUUAUUGUCGAAUCUUAUUUGGUUCCUAAUUACUCUUCUUUAAAAUGUGUGUAGGAGAAGACGUAAGAAGAGUAUGGCGGGGAAACCUAGCAGCAGUACUGAACGCAAAGAAGAGAGACGUCGCCGUAAAAGUCACUGCCGUAUUCUCUGAUCGCCAGGAUUUCAAUCCCCCGCUCUUGAUUUGCUUCGUGUGUAGAGAAAUAAGAGAUUUGAACCUCUCAACCCAAUAAAAAAAUUCUAAAUAUAUCAUUGAAUGAAUUAUAUGUUUUGUUUUUCACAAUACCAUGGUGGUUUCAAAUAUCAUGUCUCUUACUCUUAGGUUCGUAACGACCAUUGAAAGUCCUCAAAAUGAUAUUAAAUAAAUCUAAAUAUUUUUUUUCUAAAUUUGUACUAUAAAAAGUAAAUUGGUAAAAAAUAGGAUUUUAUUUUUGUCAACAUAAUAAGAGUUCUUAAAUUCUUGUAUUUUUUUAAAUAUCAGUUUUCCUUUAAUAUUUGUCUCGGUGGUUAUAUAUUCACUAUGUGUCUAAAUUAAAGCUUAGAGAUGCACAAAAUAAGUCAUCCCAGAUUAAAAACCACUUGAGAGUUAACGGGCCAAAUAUAUUUCAAGCCCCCUACAGGCAACAAGACUGGCGAAUGAAGUCACAAAAUACAUACCAUAUCUAUUGUUUAGUUGCCUUAACCACUUCAAAAGAAACCGAGAGAUCCUAGGAUAAAAGCCGAUUACUAGAGUACUUAAAAGAGCCAAGUUGGGGAAAAAACAGACUGCUGCUGCACAUUAGAGUUUAGAGAGAUGCUUCUUCUACACCUAACAGAAGAACAUGGAGUUGGCGACGUUGUCUUUGAGUUUAGGGAGCUGCGCAACAGAGACUGGUCCUGGAGCUGUCACGCCACCAUGGCUCGAGGACGUCUCAGACUGAUCUUCAAACUUCAUGAACGUUCCUAGCUGAGCAGCUGCCAAGUGAGCAUAGCAGAUCGGUGCAACUGCAUAAGAACCACAAAUGUCUCGGUUAUUAAACAGACAACCAGAGACUUUCAAAUGUCAAACACAGAAAAUAAUAUGGUUUAAAUUACCAACAGAGAUGGCGGUUGUGCUUCUUUGGUACCUGCAAAAUGGCGAAAUGGCGAACAACAAAAUAAAUCUCAUCAAUGUAAUCAAAACACAAUAGAAGCCAUAAGAGUUAUAAAGGUUGAGACUACUACAUACACGUAAGAGAGCGAGUGGACGAGCUCUUGAAGCUCAUCAGGUGAGAAAUGAAUCUCAUCAUACAGGACGUGGUAAUGCGUAGGACGUGUUGUUCCCUAAUUCAAAUACACACAAGUGUCGUAAGAAACAAAACAAUAGUGGCAAUCAACAACAAACGUAGCUUUCUAAGAGUUGAGAUAAUACUUACAAUCAUCCCAGCGUGCGCACAGAGAUAGAAAUCGUUGUUCUUUGGGUGGCAGAUUUUGUUGUCGAUGAUAGUCCCUACAGAAACAAACACAACAUGAGAUCAUGCAUGUUAUGUACGUGUUUUAAAAAAAAAAGUUAUAAUCAAAAUCACCUGGGGGAACGUUGUCAGGAGAGUUUGGCUGGAAAAACUUGGUGUGGUGAUUCUUCUGAGCCACCAACAAGAGGAACUUUGGGUUCCAGUUCUCAUCUAGAAGCUUGCAGGCCUGAGAAAAAGACAGAAGCAAUCAAAUUCCUAACACUAGAAAAACAAAUUUGAAACUGUUUCUAUAUCUUUCUGUAUGAUUCAGUUACCUCAAUGAUCUGAUCGAGCUCAAUGUUCAGAACCUGGUUGAACUGAGAUUCACUAACACCAUCCCUAGAAGUAUUGAGACAUUUAAACAAUCACAUAUGAGAAACAUACGGAACGGAAGAAUAUAAAGAUACAAGUUCUGAUGUAACAAUGUAAAUUACCUGAAGAUUAUGAUAUGCUCUGGCUUUCUCUUACCCGAGCUGGUGUAGAAAUCUACCAGCAACUCCCUGCAAAUCAACAAAAUGAAAUUACAUUAAGUACUUAAACAAAAGGAAGAGCAAGAACAAGGCACAGAGAGAGUUGGUGUAUAAGUACUUGAUUAUGCCAUCAUCUUCAGUUCCAUUUUUCUUGACGAGUGACUCAAUCAUCUCAGCCUUUGAAGGCUGUGUGCGUACAGAUGCUCUGUAUUUCGAGACUAGAGGCCACUGCCUUGAACUCACCACCUAUGUAAAAACCAUACACAAGACAUCAGCAUCAAAGAAAGAGCACAAAUCAAAAGGUUUAUGCAAAAGCAAACAAUAUAUAUAGUAAAGAGUAAAAUGUAUUACCGCAGCAAUGGAGGGAACAUCAGACUGUCCAGGAGAUCCAUGUGAAACAUCCAUCCCAAGGAUGAUGGUUGGAACCUUGGAAAUGACGGUAAAGGCUGGAGUACGCUCCACACUCAACAUGGAGUUGAGGCCACCAAGCUGUAGAGUAUAUGCAUCAGAGAUUGUACACAAGAAGCAAAAUGAACGAUUGGUACAAAGGAAAAAAAGAAAGACAGAGAUCACCUUUGCAUUGAUCUUCAGAAGACAGUUGGUAAGAUACUGAUCAUUAGGCUGCCUCACCGGAGCCAUGCAUUGUGUAACGAUGCCGUAUUCAGUUAAGUUUUUCUUCUUCCAUGGCCCUGAGGAGUAGCAAAUUCAAAUUUUAAUCAAAAGGAACAUUUAACAACCUAAAGAACUUGAGUUGAGAGAUAAUAUCUAACCGUAGAUGUCGCAGUUCUUCCUUUCGGGGAGGAGGCACAGAAGGAACUGAGGAGCACCAGGGAGCUUAGACUGGAUCUCUUCAAACAUCUUCUCUACACGAAUCAUAGGAGGAGCACGGCGAAACUGAUGACCCUCCUCAAACACAUCAAAUGGGGCAGCAAUUUCCUGUGACAGAAAGCAGUUUAAUACAAAUGGUGAUGAUGAUGAUUACAAAACAAGUUUUCAAGAAACAUGAAGAAAAAUUUCAAGAAACAUGAAGAAAAAAGAAUCAUGCUUACAAUUCCUUUCAUUCCACCAAUUCGGAUUAGAUCAUCAACCAGUUGACGCACGUUACAGCGAGCAGAGAAAUUUGCUACAGCCCAUUUAUCAAUCUUAGUUGGCUCCACAAAUUGCUGCAACAACAAAAAAAGGGAAUCAGAACAUCUUUCUUACAUGAAAAAGUAAAUACAUAGAGAGACAAGACACAGCACCUUGUUGUUGAAAUUCCAGCGACCAUUUCUCGGAAACAGUUCAUCUCCACGUCCCAUUUUCAGCUGCAAAGAAAACAAAGAGGACAUUAAAGACACUUAUUCAAGUCAAAACUAAGUAACUGUACCAUACCUUGGGAGCUGGCAGAACACGACCCUCCACCUGAGUAAAGUUGGAGCUGAUAGAAAUGCCACAUGAACGCAGGAGAGGUUCAGCGUCAUAGUUGCUCACUUUCAGCGCCUGAAAACAUUAAACCAAAUAUAUAUAUAAAUUCCAAUCCUCUUGACUGAUAAAACAUAACAACUAUGAGAGAGUAAAGACACUGUACCUUUGACAGAACAUUCAUCCUCUCUUGCGGCUUCUGUCUAGAUUUCUCAACCAGGGCAGAUCUUUGGAAAGUGUUCAGAGCCUUUGUGUACCUCUGAAGGGGAAUCAAUGUGCAGUGCUGCAAAAAGUUCCACAAAAUAACAAACAUUUUAGGAUGGACUUCUAGAACAUAAAAACAAGUGAAUACCAUGGGGAAAAAAAGGAGGGAAACCUCAAGGGGAAUAUAAGUGGGUCGCUUUGGCCUCCCAACAUUGACGCACGGCAAGUCAGCAGAGUACUGCAACUCCAGGUUCCGUUCUUUGAGGAAGUAGUCAUACACUGUUAUCUCAACAGUUUCAGACUCUCCGUUUUCAUUCUUGGGUGCGUUCCUUGGUCUAUAUUCAAACCUAUACAAAGGUAACAAGCAAAACAUCAGAGAGAAGUUUCUAACUUUUCAAAGGGAUCACACAAUAUCAGCAAAGUAAGACAUAAGCAAAUACAAAGUGAUUUUGAGAGAAUGGCAUCUUACGUUUGUUCCCUGCAAGGCUUGUCACUCAUGCCAGUGAUCCUGUACUCCUGGUUUGAAGGGCUGACUUUAAUCCUCAGGUUCUUAAGUGUUCUUUUAGCCUGUUUAAAACAUAAUGUUAAAACGUUUUGAGCUAUAAAACAAAAAAAAAAAGGUAGACAAAGCCACAUUUAGUACAUCACCUUAGACCAGUCAACAGUAAAAGGAUCCUUUGCACCUUGGUUAGCAAUGACAAAGUCAACAAGCGGACCAGGCUUGAUUAUCAUUGUGGUUGUCACAUCUGGCAUAAGAACAAACAAAUGACAUCAAACACUAUACUAUUGCUGCGGCAGAAAGGAAACAUGACGAACAGGUGAAACUACUUACCCAUGUUGAGUGACAUUCCACCCUGUGUUGUCCGGAAACUUGAAUGGAACCCUCUACAUCCCAAGAUGUUACCACCAACAGGUUCACAGUUGCUCGGGUCAUUGUGGAAAAAUGACUGUCUCACAAGUAGGCAACCUCUGCAGUUUUCCCCGAGAGGUUACUAGAGAGACAAUACAAAAAGAUAUCGGAUAAUGAAAAAAAAAACAUAUACACUUACUGUCUAGCAGCAUGCUGACGAAGGAUGAUGUCCAACACCCUUAUUGCCUCCUGUGAAUUCUCGGAUUCCUGCCCACGCAUAGCGUUAGCAAGAGCUUGUAGAGGUAUUUUAGCUGCGUAGCUAAUCUCGACUCUGAAGCUCUUGGAACGGUUAGGCCGACGAAGUCUUUUUCUAUCACCAUCGCUUGGCUCUUCAUUCCCAUUGGGGCUUGCGUUUCCAUUAGUCCUGCUCAUAAAACAUUGUCAGUAAGAAUCAUAACUCAAGCACUCAAGUGAAGGAACAAUGUGAUGAUAUCUUUUUUACCUGGCGGAAGAAACUUCCUCAAGGACCACGGAGAAAUCCAUUUUGUUGCUGGGCAAAGCUCCAAAAGUGAACAGCGUCUUCUCUCCAUCGUAGGCGAACUGCUUGCCAUCAAGAUCCGAGUGGUACGUCUCAUGAACCUUGUCAAGUACUUUCCUUCCAACCCCCUUCUGCUCAACAGGACGCCCAUCAUCAUAGAAGAGCGCCACCUGUUCAAGACAAGAAAUAAUUCUAUUGGUUAACAUCACUGAAAACUAAACAGAUUGAAUAAACAUGACAGUAGCAAGAAGACAUACACUGUAGUGGUAGAAGAAUCCCUGAAGAUUUGCAACUUUGACUCCGAAGUGAUUAGUCAAAAGCUGAAUCUUUUGACCCUUUGAUCCAAAGCCUGGACGAGCCAUAGGUACUCUUAUGUUCUUCUUCACAGCAACUUCGGUUUGAACCCUCACAGGCUCCACGUUGGGAGGAAUGAUCGGUGGAGGAGGAGGGAGUGCGUCAGAAACCCCACUCCCAUUUGCUGACUCGAGCUCAGCUCCAUUACCGGUUGUAGCAUCCAUGUCCUGCACAGACAAACAACAACAAUAAAAGAAAAAAUCUCAGUUUUCAACGUUGAUAACAUUUACAGAUUAGUUCAACAUAUAAAACCUCACUAAAGUUUUCACAUUUUGCAAACGAACCCCACAAAAUCAAAGAUCACAGAGUAAAGUAACAACCUUUUUAAGAUUUUAGCUUCUAGUUCUAACAAAGUUUACAACUUUCGUUCACAAGAACCCACAGAGAAAUAAAAUCAUUGACUAAAACUAAAAACCACCCAACAAAUAUUAUGAAAAAAGCAUGCAGGUGUAAAUAAACAUGUAAGAACCCCCAAAGAAGUCAGCUUUCAUCACAUAUUAGCUAAACAUAGUCACGCUGAGAACAUUCACAUGUUUAUUUUAAUAAAGAACCCAAAAAGAUGACAUAUUUCAAGCAAACAUCAGCAAAAAACUCACUUUAGUAAAUAAACACACAAACAGAGUGGUGAGCUUUAUAAAAGAUGACGCAACAAAAAAACAAAAAGAUGCAAGCUUUCAUCACAUACUAGCAAAAUACAAUCACUUUCUAAGAACAUUUACGGCUUUGUUCAACAUGUAAAAACCCAGAAAGGUUAAUUUUUUAAACGGAAACCUCAGUAAAACUUUCACAAAAUCAGAGAUCACAGUAAAGCAACAACCUUUUUAAGAUUUCAGGGAACAAAAUAACCCAUAAGAACAAUGCAUGCGACGAUAGACAAAAACUCAAGCUUUAUCGGAAAAAAAAACACUUUACUUCUAAAAAAGCACAAACACAGAAGCCACAUUACGAAGCUAUGAAGCUAGAAAGCAUAAACCCUACAGAUUAAAAAAAUCCACACAAGUCUUAAACAGAAGAAAUAUUUGCGAAACCCUAAAAUCAUACCUCUGAGUGUAUCGAUGAAACGAACGCGAAACCCUAAGACGAGACGAGAGAUUAGUUUCUGAGAUUCUCUUUCUUUUUCCCUUUCUGCUCUGAGCUAAAAUGGGUUAAAUUGAUCAGUAAACAGUGGAAUAUAUCCAGGAUGGAUCCUUCGCCCUACGGUUAUAUUCCUCUACUAUGCGGUGCAUAUAACAGUAACCUGCUCUUAUAAUGUUAACCGUUCGAUUCGUUUACUUUACUUAUUGACUUUUCUUGAGCUAUGAUCUUGACCGCUCGUUAGUCUAUAUAGAUUUAUUUUUAAGUGAAUCUGCUCUUACAAUCAUAACCGUUCGUUUAAGGGAUUUUGUUUAAAGACGUUCCAGGAUAUACGAUCCUGAUCGUUCGUUAAGAGUGUCUUUAUUCCGUAGACUUUUUCUUGGAAAGAGUUUUUAUAUCCCGCUACGAUUAUUUUGAAUUUUUAAAUUCGAUGUUUUUUUUCUUAUUGGUAGUAGUGGUAGACAAACUGUCCGACGUGUCCGUAAUAAAAUUAAAUGCGCGCAUUAAUCGACACGUACAUUUACACAAGUUAUGGAUAUAUGUCUAAGCAUAUAAUUAAAUUAUAUUAGUGUAUACUUAUUUAGUGAUGAUCAACGGGACCAGUAUAAUGCAUGUCUCCUAAACUGUGAUUAUUGUGAAUACGAUAUUUAAUUAUUUUUUAAGCUCUAAUCAUCUUGUCUAGGCUUGGUUAAUCCUUACUGUAAUCCACUUUACUUCCUGACAAAAAUAUAUAUUAAUUUAGAGAUUCUCAUCCGCAAUUUUUAAAUUUCCCAAUGAUAGGAGAUUAGUUGAAUUCAGUUAAGAAAACUCUAUUCCAUCUAAUCAACUAUGGGGGUUGUCUCUUUAUAGAGAUUAUAUUCAUAGCAUACGUUCGUGAGAUGAUAAAUUAUUAUUAUUCAGUGUUGCCUUUUGUAAUUUGCAGAGCUAGAUGGAGAAGGAGAAUAUACAGCUACGCUCUAGAGUCUGACCAUAUUAAUAAUAUUUGGCAGGCAAGCUAGCUAGAUGGUACUGGAAACCUUAUUUCACUUUUGAAAGAGCGUUACUAGCAUUUUUAGAGCUUCGUAGUUACAGCUCAACAGAGAUUAGAUAUCUACUCUAUGGAGUUCAAUGGUCUUUUAUGAGUUUAUCUUUUUAAUUUCACUACUCUUAUCCAUGUCUUAUUAUUAUGAUUUCUUUUUUGAAAGCAAUUGUUAUUAUGAUUUCUUACAACAUGAUUGGGUAGUCCUACAUUCUUACUAGUUAAAAAUGAGGUGAAGUUGUGAGCUUUAUUGGUUUUAUUGUUUAUAUAUAUUUGCAUUUUAUGCAAGUUAUGCAUUCACGUAAUCGAAAGAUUUAGUAAAUAUGCUUUUAGCUUAUUCAAGUUAUGCAUUCACCUAAAGAACCCACCUCUCGAUCAAUUUUUUAGCUUCUCUCUCCUAAAUCCUCUCGCUUCUCUCAUCUCUCAAAACUGAUAAUCUGCUUUCACCGGCGUGUGCGGCUUGCCGCCGCGUCGGUGCUCCUCCUCCCCCCUCUCUUAUUUUACCUUUGCUACGUGUCUUAGUCUCCUCUCCCUUGCCGAUAUGCUGAAGCACUGAGUUUGUUAUCUGAUGAUGGAUUUGGGAUACGACCAUGGCGUUUCUCCGGAUCUGUCUUCACCGGUGAACUUGGUUGGACGGCGAGGUUCGUGGAGCCGCAACUAAGAGCGGAGUCGGCGUUUUAGGGUGGCUAGGGUUUUGAUUCUCUCGAUUUUCAGAUCUGUUUGGUGAGACAUUUCCCUACCGGUUCUGGAGGCGCGUGAUCUUGGAGUGGGCUCAAUCUGCAUAGAUCUGGUUCUUUUGGUCUGUGUCGGUGAGGGGUGGUGAUCCGGAGUUUUAGCUUUCUGCCUUGGUGUCUCGGCGACAGCUAAUCCCGUUCAUGCCCAAGUAGGACGUUGUGGGCUAUGCUCACUCGACGCGCGACGGUUUUGAAGUUUCUUGGCGGUGCCAAGGGUUUUCUCCCGGCGGCGCGUGUAGCUUAAAGGAUGGUUUAAGCGCGUGGAGGUGUCUGGUACUCAGGCGUCGGCUGUCUGGUCAAGCUUCUCCUGUCUUCGUCCUCUUCGGUUCAUGGCGAUGGUGUUUGGAAAGCUCGUAUCCCGGUUCUGAUCAUUCCGGGUUUCAGGGUUUGCGGGGCUUGGUUCUUCAAUUUCCUGGGCAUUUGUUCUGUCUCAUUUGUUCCAUUUUACCAAGAAAGGAAACUCCCUCUUGUUCUAAGAGAAGUAUCAUGGGAGGCGUUCACGGGUUCGUGGUCAUGGAGCUCGGUUUUCACCUCUGUGGCGGCAUGAUUAGGGCUAUCUCAUCCCAGUGCCGUGGUGGUUCUUUUGAUUUACCGCGGCAGAUUUGGUUCUUUUCCUUUCAGUGCAGGUCCCGUUGUUUCUUUGAUCUAGCUGCCUCCUUUUCAUCCCGUUCUUUCGGCGUUUGGUGUUGCGUGCGUACAGGUUUGUUGCUCCUCACCUUCCCUGCGCUUAAUUGUCAGUGGUAGUACUUGUUUGGAAGCAAGUCAGGAUGCUCCGGCUCCUCUUUGGAUUAACAGCAAUUGGUUGGUGAAUAGGAUGUAAGACCCGGAGUUUGCUAACGCUACUUGCCUGUGUAGUCAAACCAUCUAAAAGCUGCCAUUGUAUGUCGUACCUAUUUUACUUGCUUCUUACUUGUGAGCCACUGUUAUCCCCAUCUCGGGUUGAAUAUAUUCGGAUUGUGUUGUCAUGUUUUCCUUUUAGUUUCAAGUUGUAUUUUUUUUUUCUUUUGUUUCUUCUUUGUAAUCUCUGUAUUUUUUUUCUUUAUUUCAAUAUGAAAGCCAGUUAAAAAAAAAAAAAAAGAUUUAGUAAAUAUGACUUGUAGUGUCUUUAUCGUCAUUCGCCAUAGAUAGAUUAACAAAAUUGAUCAUGCUGCCCAAAAAUCAAUUCUUUAUUUAGUUUUUUAAAACAAUUUUCUUUAUUGAGUUGUAUGUGUAUUUGCUAUCAUUGUUCACAUUAUCCACUCUCGUUUUUAAAAAGCAAAAUAAACUUGGGAAGAUGAAGUCGAGAAAUGUCUUUUGUUAUUUCAUUUUCGCUCAAGUAUUACAAUGGCUAAAGCUUCUUAUUCAUACUAAAGUCUAAACCCUAGCUCCUCAUAUGAACGUGCACAGGUGUCGUCACUACACUGCAUAAUCUGGAUCUUGUACCGCAAAGCUGUUUGCCAGCGUGACGUUGGACGUCUCUUUUGAUUUAACCGUGCAGUCAGACGCAGCUCUGUUCUUAUCCUCUGUUUUGGGAGCCAUUGGAGAAAGGCGACAGGAAUGUGCAGCUGGCGUGGGCUUGGUUUCUUUUAGGCCCAAUAUUGGCGAUGUCUUUGGCCCAGAACUUGUAACGACUGCGUUGUGAUCUUGACUGUUGAUAGGUCAAGGGUUUAACUAAAUAUUGUAGUUUCGGUGAUUUUUCAUAUUCACGACGACAUUUAUCUAUCGAACCGUAGUCGUUGGACAUGCAUAAAUGUGUAGUUGGAAAACUACUACUAUUAUAGAGAUUUAGAUAUGAUAGUUUACGUAUGUGACCCCCAAUAUCAAACUUAAGCAAAACUUAAAUAUAGUUCAGUUCAAUUAGAGCAGAUUUUGUGUGUGAACAAUAGCGCAUUAUUCAAUCGAAGGAUUAACGAUACAUUAUGAUUAUGAAAAGCAUCAUAACUCAUCAAAGGCUGUGAGAGGUUUCUUUGGGUCAACGUCUUCAAUGAGGGGAAGAUCCACAACUAAGUCCUCAGCUCCAAUACCUUCUCCUUUAAGCGUAUUUGUAACUUCUUCAAAAACCACUUUGUUCCCGACCCGACUCAAAUGUAAACCGUCCCUGGAUUCCGAAAGAACAAACAAAUUUUAGAAAAUAACAACUAAGUAAAUACAUUGGCUGUUUCCAAAAUUGUAACAUAUGGCAUGGGAAUACGUAGUUACCAUAGACAUUCAGUUUGCCAGUUCGGAAUUUGCUGCAUCUUGGACCAAAGAUCGAUGGCUGGAAUUUGGCAUUCAUUAGCUACGGCUACACACGCUUUUGCGUAUGUUCCUGCUGCUUCGUUUGUUCUUUCUGGCAAGCCUAUCGUGUUUUCGAUAUAAGGAUAUCUAGCAAUGUUUAAGAUUAUUCAGUUAUAAAAUUUAGUGGCAAAAAUUAUAUAAAGAGAGGUUAUGCAUUUAGGAAAUCUAUGGUAGAUUUUGAAAAAAGAAGAAGCAAAAGGGGAUAAAAUGUUGAAAGUGGAGAAAGUUAGAGAUAUAUGUCGUACCGGAGCCGAGCCUCUUCGUCGAUUGGUGGUGGAGUUAUGAGAAUAAUGACCGUUCGUGGCCAACGAUUCUGAAAUUAAAAGCAAAAGUAAACUUUAUAAUUAUACGAAUUCCAUUCUUUAAUUAAAAAUGUAUAAAGUAUAUUUUGCAUUUUACUUAGUGAAUCAACAAGUAUAUAUUGGUGCUGUUAAAGCUACAUAUACUUUCCCAAAAGAGAAAAAUGAUCAAAACAGUGGCCUUUCCAGUCAAACGAUUAAAUAUAACAUAAUAGAUUAAUAUUUAUAACGUGUACUAUUAAUAUUUAUAACGUGUACUUGAGAGGCAUAUUAUGAAAAUUUUAUCUUUUUAUGAUAACAUAUAUAUAACCUCAUGUUGAUCUUUAUAAUUAGAAAGAUUAGCCACUAUACAUGUAAUUUCAUUUUCUGAAAAAAAAAAAAAAAAUUCAUUUUCUGUUCAAUCUAAAGUGUUAUCAAGAUCACCAUUCACCACUUACUAAAAAGCAACUAAAUAAAUCCAUGUCAUCUUUUGACCACAAAUGAUUACAUUCUUUUUUUUGGAGACAAAUGAUUACAUUCUAGAACUACAAUUUUGACGUUUUUUUAAGAUGGUAAUCAAAUAUAUAAAUUAAAUAUACACUCUCUUUUAAAAAUAAUUAAAUAUACACAUGGAUAAAGAUACACUAAAUUUUUGUAAGAAAAUACAUACUUAAGUAAUUUAUUUUCCUUUCUGUGUUUGGUAUUUACGUUUGCAAGUUUUUCUAAAAAAAUAUCUGCAAACUGCAAAAACAUUUAUUCAGAACUGCAAAAAUAUUUAUGGAAGCCUGUAAAGAUGUGUAAGAUUUCAGACAAUGUUAAUUUCUUUCACAAUAUAUAUCCAAAAACAAUUGCCUGAGAUUAUGUUUAUACAAUAAAAGUAGAAUUCAGUUGAAUUUUUUUGGUUCAAUUAUAAUUCAAUUGAAUACGUAGUGGAUAUAAUAAAAAUGUCACCUUGAGAAACGAAACAAUUAAGCGAAGAUUCUGUUUAUAUUCGAGAAGUGGCACAUGCUGAAACCCCGAGCAUCUCUCCGGCAGACACGCAUCGUUGGCUCCAAAAAAUACAGUCACUGCCGAUGGAUAUGCUCCGCCGUCUCCCGCUGCCGGAAAAACUCUCUCCAUCACUUUUAAUGCCCAUCUCGUGUUAUAUCCACUGUAUCCUCGUAACACCAUAUCAGCCUAAAUUUUUUUAAUAUAGUAUCAGAAAAGUCAUUCGAAAUUAGUUAAUAUAUGCUCAAUAGGGAAAAAAUUGUUAAGACGUAAAUGUGAUUUGAUAUUACAUGAAUCCAUUUCACAGAAAAAAGAAGAUAUAUUAACAUGUUUAUUUUUUUAAACUAAGAUAUGUUAAACUUUUUUACUAGUACAAUAUGAUGCUUAAUUUCCUGAAAAUUAUUUUUCAUAACGAGAACCAAUAAAAAUCUAUGAAAACCUGGUAAAAAACAAUCUAUAAGACCAGUUCAAAACAAAUACAUAUAUCAAACAAAAUGUUAAUUUUAAUUGAUUUCAACUGAAACUUUGUGAAUAUUCAUUUCUCCACUGUAAAUUAGAUGUUACAAGAUGUAUAUAGUUUUUUACAUAAUAGAGUAAUUCAUACAAAACUGUGUAUUUAUAAAGAGAAAUAUAUAUACCUUGCGCCGGAGAAGAUCGGCGAGAGAAGCUCCCCAGCCACCGUCGCCAAAUGAUUCUUCAGUGAUGGAGUCGCCAAAAAGAACGACCUUAGGCCUCAUCUUUUGAAUUUUCUUCCUCUUCGAACUUUCACUCUCUCUCUCUCGCUCUCUAAAGUUUCCAAAAGAAAACCCACUCUAGUAGUCUCUAUUUUCCCGAGAGAAUCUAAACGGAACAGUGUAUAGUGGUUUCGCUGAAGUGGUCGUGUUUAAUUUACUAAAGAAAGGCUUAUUAUUGAUGAAAGUAGUAAAGGUUUGUUAUUGGGACAAACAAAAAUUAAAGUCGAUGCACUAAAUGCUCCCAUUGCCACUAGUCACCGACCUUACAUGAUUUAUAUAAUGUGUAAAUUCCAAUUGAGAAAUAUAGGCUUAAUAAACUUCCAAACAUAAGGUAUGACCAGUUUACCACAAUGGAAGGAUACAAGAGUUAGUCGAGAAACGAGAGUAGAUCACAUGUUCUGAACGACACUGUCAAACUUUGUAGUCGAACCCAUUCAAUUUCAAGUGUUUAGUAAAUAGUUCAUCCGUUUCAUUUAGCUGUGUUUUACGUUUAUUCACACAGAUUAAAAAAUAUUUAAUUUUAUAUAUUUUCAAAAUAAAAACAUAAUUACAUUACAUAUACAUUUAACAUAUUUCAACAAAUAAAAAAUAAACUACAGAAUAUUGUUAAUAAAUUUUGUAUUGAAAUUAAAAAACAACACUUGUUUUUAAACGGAAAUUUCACUUUACAACCAUAAUUAAACUGAAAUGAAAGGAGUAAUAAACAAUUUGCUUUGUUAAAUUAAUAAAUAAAUAUUAAUUUUGAGUAAAGUGAAAGAAAACGUUAAACAUGAAUUCUAACUAUAAAAACCUUAUAUAUAAGACAAAAACAUGAGAUUCUAUAAAUUUACCAUAUUUAUUUACUUAUCGAGAAUAACUAUUAAUUUAUAGAUUUGGAUUGUAUAACCCACAAAAUUCUUAAGUGAUUUCUUGUAAUAAGUAGGGUAAAGAAGAUUUUCCGUACUAUACAUAUCAAGUUACUUCCUUAUUUUGUAAAAGUACACUAAUUUAUAAAUACACACAAAGUAAAAUUCCUAGAUUUUACAAUAUAUUUUUAUUUAUGAAUAAACAUUAUAUAAAUAAAUAUUAAAUCAAUGACAAUAAAUUAUAAUUUAAAAAUAAAAAUAGAUAUUAAAAUUAACUAAUAUUUAUAUUAUACUAUAAUCUAAUAAAACUAGUUAUAAUUGAUAUAUUAAUAUUAUAAAUUUUGAUAGAUUAUUUCAUCAAUUUUGAAAUAUAUUAAUCAAAUACGAAAUUUUUUUAACAAAUACAUUAACUCGUUUAUAUUAAAUUUCUAUAAAGACAAAAUUUAACCAAUGUGAGAUAUGUUACAAAUUGUACUACUCUAUUUUGUUUUAAUUUAGUAAAAACUAAAAUAAAUGUGUGACACAACAAAUGAAUAAACGGUUUUACUUUUAUUAUUAUAAAUUUAUAUUUAUAUAAAAUUUACAUUUAACUAACAAAUAUUAUCAAAAAAUUAUAUGAAGAGAUGUUAUUCCAUAAAACAUAAAUAUUAUAAAUCAAUGCAGUAUAUUAAACUUGCAAUGAAUAUUAUAUUUAAAUAAAAUAUUAUUACUAAACUAUGAUACUGUGUUAGUACAUUUUAGUUAAUAGAAUAAAAAUAUUUUUUUAAAAAAUUCUAAGAUAAAUUAAUCUUUACGAAUCCUAUAUAUGAAUAUAUAAACAUCUUAAGUUAACGCUUUUGUAUUUCAAGAAUUUAAGGCUGAAAUCUAAAUUUAUAUACAUGUAAUAAAAUGAAAGAUACAUUUUCAUAAAUUAUUUAAUAUAUUUAAAUAUUUAAGUUAAAAAUCUGUAUAGAAUAGUAAUUAUAUUUUUUAAUUAUAAACUUAAAUUUUCAAAAAUAAUUAAGAUAUAUAAUAUACACAAAUUUAAAUUAAAUAAUAAAAACAUUUAAAUACAAAAGUUAUGGAUGCUUUCAAGUAAAUAAUUUUUGUAAUAAAUUAUUUUGUACUUUGUCUCGUAGUUCAAAAUCUAGUUAUUUUUUUUUUGUUUUAAUAAAUUAGCUUUUUCAUUUUGAUUUCGCUUUAGGAUUUUGGACCUUCUGGUAUACGAUUGUUUCAGGAAAUGUAAUAUUUUAAUAUGAUAUAGGACUUUUUGAAGUUGUAUUUUUUGUCUAGAUAUGAAGAUAAUUUCAUUUAAUAUGGCUGGUUAGAAAUUAAGAAAAAUUCUCAUAUUUUGUUAAUUCAACUUUGUUAUUAUUAUUAGUUGUUUUGAUUCCUGUGUGUACAGUUUUAGUCUUUUAGAAGCAUUUAAUCUCAGCUUUUAUUAGUAUAGAAAUCUUUACUACGGCACCUAACCCUAAUUCUUGUAGGUUGCCUGUUUCUGCUUUAUCAUUAUAAGGCUUAUUUAUCAAUCAACAAGAAAAUAACAACGUUACCGAACAAAAAGGUCACAUGCGUAUUUCUAACGUUAAACACUACAGUUAUGAAAAAUUUAUGAUCUCAUCUCAUAAGUUUCAGUAUAAAAACUUACUUCGAAUGUUCAUGCAUGCAUAAAUUAUAAAACAUCAAACUAAGUAAAUAAAAAAGACCGAUAAAAUGAAAAUCAAUAUGCUGGUCAUUGCUGCAUUCUCCUUUUUAAUCGCCGCGAGGUCACUACCAGUGAAACCAACGCUUAACUACGAGUCCAUAUUUAAUUUUGGAGAUUCUUUAAGCGACACUGGAAAUUUUCUUAUCUCCAGUGAUGUGAGCUCUCCGUCCAUCGGUAGACCACCAUACGGUCAAACUUUCUUUAACCGUUCAACCGGCCGUUGCUCUGACGGACGUCUCAUCAUUGAUUUCAUUGGUUAAUUUCUCAUCUCCUACUCCCUCUCUCUUAAAAAAUUAUCAUGGCCAGACUCGGAAAAUAUGCAUAGGAGAAUAAUUUGUUAUAUUCGUUUCAGUCUCUUUUCAAUUUUUACAAUAUAAUUAACCAAAAUUCAGGAUCCCGGCUUCAAAUCCACCAUAUACAUAAAACGUUAAACUAAAAUAUGCACCAAAUGAAACUUACAUGCAUAAAUUGGGAUCUCCUAAAAACGUACGUUUUUUGUAUAUGUGACUACGUGCAGCUGAGGCAAACGGAUUACCGUACGUUACACCAUAUCUCCAAAGCGUGCGAACAAACUUUUCGGUGGAUUUCAAUAAAGGAGCAAAUUUUGCAGUGGCCGGAGCAACGGCGAAUGACUUUAACUUUUUGAAAGAAAGAGGUCUUUCAGUAACAUUGUUGACGAAUAAGACAUUGGAUGUUCAGCUUGAUUGGUUCAAGAAAUUGAAACCUUCUCUCUGUAAAACAAAGCCAGGUAAAUAUAAAUAUUAGAGAACACGACUAAAAUAACAGUUAGAUUUUGGAAAAUACCUGACAAGAAACCGGAAAAAAAAACUGAUGGUUGUGAUUAUUUCUGUCAAUUUUUACAAAACGGUAAACCUGACACAUACUUAGAUAAAAAGUACACUGUAAGGAAAUUGAGACAUUAUGCAAGAGUUUGCACGAACAUUUAGCAAAAAAAGAAGAAGAAAUCAUUUGAUUUGUAACAGAUAAUAUACCUUAAUUAAAAAUUUGAUGGUGUUUUUGGCAUAAUAUAGUUUAUUUUGGCAGAUUGUGACCAAUAUUUUAAGAAAUCUCUAUUUUUCGUGGGAGAAAUUGGUGGAAACGAUUAUAAUUACCCUCUAUUAGCAUUUCGGAGUUAUAAACACGCCAUUGAUUUGGUACCAUCCGUCAUUAACAAGAUCAUCAACGUCACAAGCGUAAGUAGGAAACAUUUACGUUAAAUGAAUUGUGUUUAAACGUUAAUAACAUUCGUUUAUCAACUAUCGGUUUUGUUUAAUCCUAGGCCUUGAUAGAGGAAGGUGCAGUGACGCUGGUGGUUCCGGGAAACCUUCCGAUCGGUUGUUCGGCGGUUCUGUUAGAGCGAUUCAGUGAUGAUAAUAGAUGGCUCUAUGACACAAGGAACCAUUGUCUUAAGCCGCUGAACAAUAUUGCCAAGCUUCACAAUACUAAGCUCCAGGAAGGCCUUGUGACUUUAAGGCAAAAGUACACUCAUGCUAAGAUUAUCUAUGCUGAUUAUUACGGUUCAGCUAUGCAAUUCUUUAACUCACCUUCCAAAUACGGUACUCCGAUUUCGAUAAUAUUUUCUAUAAUAAAUUAAAUUUGACGUUUAGUGAGUUGACAAAAAAACUCAGUUAAAUUGUGUAUAGUAAAAUAAUAAAUACUGAUAAAAUAAAAUUUGAUAUACGUUUGAUAUCUUUUUCUUUUCUUUUGCGUUAUAGGUUUUACUGGAAGUGUCCUAAAGGCAUGUUGUGGAGGAGAAGAUGGAAGAUACAACGCAAAACCAAACGUAAAGUGCGGCGGAAAGGGUUCAACGACUUGUGAAAACCCAUCAACGUAUGCAAAUUGGGAUGGAAUCCACCUAACCGAGGCGGCAUACCGCCACAUUGCAACUGGUCUCAUCUCUGGCCGUUUCACCAAACCUUCUCUCAGUAACAGUUCAUCAUUUUCCAACUUCUAAUUUAGUCACACGAAAUAUAUAAGCUUUAAUGGAAACUCCUUUGUAACGAAUAAUUAAUUGGUAUAAACUCAAGUGCUUAGCGCAAUGCCGAACGUUCUAUUUAUGUUUGAUUAUUCAGACUAUCUCACAUUUGGUUAUCCAAAAAUAAUGUAAAAACCACUUGCAAUUUUUUUAUGCUUUUUAUUCUAUUUACAAAUUUGGGAACCUAAUCUUUCUUAGGUUUUUAUCAUAAUAUAUUGAGGAUCUCAUGUGUAAAUAGUGAAAUAAUUCGUUGUGGGUAAAAUGAAACAAUAACUAAAAGCAAAUUAACUCGAUCAAACAAAGAGAUUAUAUAUAAUCAAGAUUAAUAUUUCUAUGAUUUGGUCGGCCGAACAAGCCGAUUUAAGAUCAUUGAUUUUUUCCGGAUGUAAGCUGAUAAAAUAUAUUAUAGUAGUAUUUAGCGUAUAACGAAUCAGAAUCCAGAAUGGAGAUUUCCGGUUCGAUCGGUCUGGUAUUGAAACCAGAUCCACUUGUCCUCUUACUCCAUGGGGCAUUGAACAGAACAACAAUGUUGGUACAUUCGAUGUUCCUCUUUAAUUAAUAUUUAGUGUAAACAUUUUAGUUUAAUUAUUAUAUUUUUAAACUGGGGCACUUUUCCCAAUACUUUAAAGUUUAAAUGGUAAAGCAUGAACUCUCUCUCUUUUAUACGGAGUAUUUUAGUAAUCGUUGCGAGGGUGGCAUUUCUUGUCUCCUUCAUUUUCUUCUCCGAGAAACCUCAUAAUCCUUGCGAGAAAGCAAAAGGAAAACAAUCUUUGCUUACCUUCUCUUUUUAAGGUAUGUGCUAUUUCUUCGAUACACUUUCUUUAUUUUCUCUAUGAUAAUGAAUUCUAAAAAAUUCUUUGAUUUUAGGGCUUGAUUUUAUCCAUGUUUUGCAAUCUUUUCCGUAUAUCGAUGAUCAUAAAAAUGAAUUUUAGAACAACACAGAGACUACAGAGUAUAUAGUGAACGAUUAAAAAGCGUGUGCGUGUGAGGAGUAUCUUUUAUUUGUUGUAAAAAUAUUUCUAAAUAAGAGUAAGAAUGGUCAGAUAAAAAAUGUGCACUACCAUGUCUCCUUAUUUAGAUUUUGAAUAUAUCAUAACGAUGCUUGUGGUAUAAGAUAAUUCUAUGUUUUUUGGUUUUCUGUUGAUAGUCUCUUUGGUGCCACUUGUUUCAGACGAUUAGGUUGAACCACUGUCUUGAUUUUUUGAUCCAAAUCAAAGCUAUGACAGUUUCUGCACCAACUUGCCAUUUCUGUAUUGACUUUUGAUGAUAUGAUAUUCAUAAAAAAUGUUAAAUUUUUGACUGGUUAUUAAUUUAAAUUACUGAAUUCAGAUUUUAUCUACUUUAUAUCUCCGGAAUAAGCAAGAAACUAGUUCUGGGAAGAAAGUUAUUCACAUUUUGACUGGUAAAUGUUUUAAAAGAUAGUUCAAAAGGCUAAAUUUGUUUCCAAUAUAUAUUCAAGGUUAAAUAUUAAACCGCUGAACUAAAUUGAAAGAAAAAUCUUCUUUGUAAAGUUACUUAUUUUAUGUUUAUAUUCUUAAUAUAAAAAUGAGAAAUAGUUGUUUGUAAUUUGUAUAUCGAUAAUUACUAUUAUAAAGCUAUAGUUUUUUUUAUCAAAUAAAGAUAUAGUUAGUUUUACUUUUUAGUCAAAGUCUAAAAUAAAAAAACCCAUAAACAAUUUAAACUAUUCAUGUGAUGCAGACUAACGUGCACUCCACCACAAUUAAUGGCACAAUGUGAUCUCCACAUACAAUUAUUAGACAUCUUGACCUUUCAAGAAAUAAUGUUUUUUCCGUAUGGCAAAUUAUUCCGUAUGGAUUCAUUACAUAACUUUAUGUACAAACUUUAUACUAGAGCAGGGCAUUCGGAUUUUCGGUUUCUCAGAUUAUUUUCUUUUGGUUUUUCAUUUCUUCGGUUUUGGGAAAAUGUCACUUAGUUGUACCGUACUAAAUUCCGGUUUGAAAUCCGGUUCAUUUGGUUUGGUUUUAGGUAUAUUAUUGUGUUUCGAAGUAAACCAUCAUUAUUUCAUAACAGCCAAAAUUGUCUCAGAAUUGGUUUAUGCGAUAAAAGAUUAAAAAUCUGGUUAAUUUCAGUUUAUUUAUUUAUUCUUGUCAGAUUUUUGUUGAUAUUUAUAUGACCAAUCGAAUUAUACGUACCGAUCCGAACUGAACCAAAAAACCAAUUAAAUUUUUAAUUCUUCAUAUUCGGUUUGUAACCAAACCAGACUUAAAACCAAAAACUGGAAACUUUCGGUUCGGUUGGUUUGGUUCAUUUUGGUUUAAACCAAAUGUCCAUUGCUACUUUAUACACUCAUUUGUAAUGUCUUAUCUUUAGGUAAUGGUUGCUGAUAGAAAGAAGAAUGUAUUUUGGAUAUAUAUAAAACCAAUUUAUUAUAUAUAUGUAUACAUAUAAGUGUUUGAUGUUUUGUUUAUAGAACAUUCAUUAAAUUUCACCAAAUAUUAACCGGUUUUUGUUAAAAAUAUAUAUUUAUAAGAUAUCACUAUUCAAAUAUAACUAGAUGAUUUUAUGUGUCAUGUGCAGAUAUAUAUUCACAUUUUUUAAAGUUCAUUAAUUUUUGAAGUAAUCAUUUGUAGUUUUUUAUUUAAUUUAAUAUUUUAGUCUAAUAAAAUAAUUUUUCAUUUUUCAAUAUAUAAUUUAUACUAUUUUCAAAUAAUUUAUACUAUUUUCAAAAAAGUAUAAAAUAAUUUUAUACUAUUUUGGUUUUCCGUUUAAUAAAUAAAUACUAAUAAACUUUUGUUAUUUGGUUGUUUUGGUCAAUUUCUGGUAACUCAAUUUUCAAUGGAAAAACUUUUUGUGUAUCAUUUGGACUACGGCGGUGACGAACCGUGUUGCUUUUCUGCCUCUUAGCUGUAUGUAACUCUCUCAUCAUUAUAGAUAGACUUGGUUCUUUAACUUGCGCUUGUUAUCUUACUCGUGCGCACGUAAUUUUAUUUUAUUUAUAUGUAUUAUAAAUUUAUAAACUACAGAGUAUAUUAUUUACUUGUUUUGUUGCUAUAUUAUAUUCCUUAUAAAUAUUAUAAUAAUCUCCCCUUGAACUGUUUCUUUCAUAAUUAUAUACGGAAAUGAAGCUAUUGGCUGUUCCCUGUUGGACUGAUUCAUUGCAAAUCACGUAUUAAUUUACUUGCUAAUCUGAAAGAAACAAAUAUUAAAAACAAAAUCCACAGUAAAUUCAAUGUGGGGCCCUUCGCAUUAGCACCGCGUACGAUAUCAUUACUCUUGUUUUCUUUCUGUACGCGUUAUCGCCAGCUUAAAUAUUUGCAAUUGUUUACAAAGAAACGCUCCUCUGUCUCUGUGUUAAACAUUAACAGCGUUUCCAAAUUCAGUUUCACUUUCAUUCACUUCUUCUUCUUCAGUUGUUUCACAAGUUUCUCAGUUACUUUUGUAGAAUCAAUCUCUCUUUCUCAAAUGGCUGAACGAGUCCAUCCCGCUGAUUCACCACCGCAGAGCGGCCAAUUCUCCGGCAAUUUCAGCUCCGGCGAGUUCCCAAGAAAACCAGCUCCACCACCCGCGACUUACGUGAUCCAAGUCCCCAAGGAUCAGAUCUACCGCGUCCCCCCGCCGGAGAACGCGCACCGUUUGCAACUCCUCUCCCGGAAAAAACCCAAUCGCAGUCGCUGCAGGUGCUGUUUCUGCUACUUCCUCGCCGCAAUUGUCAUCCUCGUCGUCCUCGCCGGAAUCUCCUUCGCCGUUCUCUACGUCGUCUUCCGUCCCGAAGCUCCGAAAUACUCCGUCGAGGGAUUCUCAGUCUCAGGCAUCAAUCUGACGUCUCCGUCUCCAAUUUCUCCCAGAUUCAACGUCACCGUCAGGUCGCGUAACGGUAACGGAAAGCUCGGGAUCUACUACGAGAAAGGGAGCAGUGUGGACGUUUUCUACGGAGACGUCGCUCUCUGUAACGGCGCUUUGCCUGUGUUUUACCAGCCGGCGAAUAAUGUAACGUUGGUUAAGACGGCGUUAACUGGGUCGAGGAUUCAGUUAACUAGUGGCGCGCGGAAGGAGAUGCGUAAUGAGCUGAGUAAGAAAACGAUGCCGUUUAAGCUGAAGAUUAAAGCGCCUGUGAAGAUUAAGGUUGGUUCGGUUAAGACGUGGACGGUCACCGUUAAAGUUAACUGCGAUGUUACGGUGGAUAAAUUGACGGCACCGUCCAGGAUUGUGUCCAGAAAGUGCAGCCAUGACGUGGACCUUUGGUGAUUUUCAAUUUUUUUAUCCAAAAACUGCAAAUGACCAAAAAAAGAAGACGAGAGUACAGAGGCUGUUUUGGAUUUAUAGGAUUUUACUGAAUGUUUUUUUGUUAUUGAUUGCGUUUUAAUGUUUUUUUAUGAAUCAUACAUACAUUGUGAAUUUGUGAUUGCAAAUGAGGAAAUUUUCCAAUUUGAACUUAUUUAAUAUUAGUUGAAAACUUCCUCUUUGGAGGAUUAAAGAUUUGCGAAAA
rnacentral:lncRNA from 1 species